AAUUGAUCCUCAUGCCGCCGAAGGUUUUUAAAUUAUUUGCCCAUUGGCUGCUAGCUCUGCCAGCGUGCAAAUAGUACUCAAAUCAUUCACUUCUAAAAUAAAAGUGGAUGAUUGUUUGCAAAUGUCAAUCCUGCCGCAUGCAUUCAGUUUAUUUUCGCCCGCCAUGUGGUAGUUGAUAAAUCUCCAAAUGCUGUGCUUUAUAAUGGUUGGAAUGUGGCUAUUACGGAUUUUUUAAAGUCUUUAGAAUAAAUGGUAUGGAAUUGGUCAGGAAGACCGAAUCCUUACCGCAUUUGACUUUAGUAAACCCGCGAUUGGAAAU